rnacentral:rRNA from 1 species
AACGAACGCUGGCGGCAGGCUUAACACAUGCAAGUCGAGCGCCCCGCAAGGGGAGCGGCAGACGGGUGAGUAACGCGUGGGAAUCUACCUUUUGCUACGGAAUAACUCAGGGAAACUUGUGCUAAUACCGUAUGUGCCCUUCGGGGGAAAGAUUUAUCGGCAAAGGAUGAGCCCGCGUUGGAUUAGCUAGUUGGUGGGGUAAAGGCCUACCAAGGCGACGAUCCAUAGCUGGUCUGAGAGGAUGAUCAGCCACAUUGGGACUGAGACACGGCCCAAACUCCUACGGGAGGCAGCAGUGGGGAAUAUUGGACAAUGGGCGCAAGCCUGAUCCAGCCAUGCCGCGUGAGUGAUGAAGGCCUUAGGGUUGUAAAGCUCUUUCACCGGUGAAGAUAAUGACGGUAACCGGAGAAGAAGCCCCGGCUAACUUCGUGCCAGCCGCCGCGGUAAAAC